GUUUGUACAAGCCCUGCAACGUGAUGGGAUCCGAAGCCUCCUGAAGAUUCCAUCCAACUCCUAUUCCGACAGGUCCACGUCGUGCAGGGUGGUAACGUGUGCAUGAACCCAACCUUUUGCGUGGGUGGCUAAGGAGGACGAG
rnacentral:ribozyme from 1 species